UACGGAGGGUGCAAGCGUUAUCCGGAUUCACUGGGUUUAAAGGGAGCGUAGGUGGGUCUGUAAGUCAGUGGUGAAAUCUCCGAGCUUAACUCGGAAACUGCCAUUGAUACUAUAGGUCUUGAAUUAUCUGGAGGUAAGCGGAAUAUGUCAUGUAGCGGUGAAAUGCUUAGAUAUGACAUAGAACACCAAUUGCGAAGGCAGCUUACUACGGAUUGAUUGACACUGAGGCACGAAAGCGUGGGGAUCAAACAGG
rnacentral:rRNA from 1 species